GGGGCUGAUUUGGUUUCGACAGGAAUAGUUGAGCAUAGAUGGCAAGUCGAAUGUCCACGUUACGGACAAAAAAAAAUAAAUGCAAAUAAAAUUAAAAAUGCUGUAGCAACUUUAUUUGGCGUUCGUCCAACUAUGGCUGCUUUUGCCUAAUAAUAUAAAGGCCAGUGCUUCUACUUAUUUUUACCUAGGAAUAUUUAGAGGUUCAAUUUAAUAGGUUAUAGCUAUCUUUUGUCUAGAGGAUAGAAAGAAUAUUUAGACUAGUAUAUUUAUUUGGUCGUCAAUUACUUGAUAAAUAUAUGAAUUUAAUUAGUUGACUAAGCUUGUAGAAGUUUAUGUAGCUCUAUUUUUGGACAGGAGUUCGAUUCUCCUCAGCUCCACCA
rnacentral:tmRNA from 1 species